CGGACGGGUGAGUAACACGUGGAUAACCUACCUAUAAGACUGGGAUAACUUCGGAACCGGAGCUAAUACCGGAUAAUAUAUUGAACCGCAUGGUUCAAUAGUGAAAGACGGUUUUGCUGUCACUUAUAGAUGGAUCCGCGCCGCAUUAGCUAGUUGGUCAGGUAACGGCUUACCAAGGCAACGAUGCGUAGCCGACCUGAGAGGGUGAUCGGCCACACUGGAACUGAGACACGGUCCAGACUCCUACGGGAGGCAGCAGUU
rnacentral:rRNA from 1 species